rnacentral:rRNA from 1 species
CCUACGGGUGGCAGCAGUGAGGAAUAUUGGUCAAUGGCCGGAAGGCUGAACCAGCCAUGCCGCGUGAAGGUCAGUGCCCUAUGGGCGUUAAACUUCUUUUGUGCGGGAGCAAUAAUGGUCACGUGUGGCCAGACGAGAGUACCGUACGAAUAAGCAUCGGCUAACUCCGUUCCAGCAGCCGCGGUAAUACGGGGGAUGCAAGCGUUAGCCGGAUUUAUUGGGUUUAAAGGGUGCGUAGGCUGUGAGGUAAGUCAGCGGUGAAAUGCCCCCGCUCAACGGGGUGAAGUGCCAUUGAUACUGGCGUGCUGGAAUGCGGAUGUCGUGGGAGGAAUGUGUGGUGUAGCGGUGAAAUGCAUAGAUAUCACACAGAACACCGAUUGCGAAGGCAUCUCACGAAUCCGCGAUUGACGCUGAUGCACGAAAGCGUGGGUAUCAAACAGGAUUAGAUACCCGAGUAGUC